AAUCUUGGGAAAGGGUCGAAAGCCUGACGCAGCCAUGCCGCGUGACGGAUUUUGGUCUUAGGUUUGUAAAAUUCUUUCUCCGGGGACGAUCAUAACGGUACCCUGACAAGAAGCUCCGCCCAACUUCGUGCCAUCAGCCGCGGUAAUACGAAGGGGGCUAGCGUUGCUCGGAAUUACUGGGCGUAAAGGGCGCGUAGGCGGACAUUUAAGUCAGGGGUGAAAUCCCAGAGCUCAACUCUGGAACUGCCUUUGAUACUGGGUGUCGUGAGUGUGAGAGAGGUAUGUGGAACUCCGAGUGUAGAGGUGAAAUUCGUAGAUAUUCGGAAGAACACCAGUGGCGAAGGCGACAUACUGGCUCAUUACUGACGCUGAGGCGCGAAAGCGUGGGGAGCAAACAG
rnacentral:rRNA from 1 species